CAGUCACCAUCAGUUAAACUGUAACACCGCUGGUAUGUCCGCGAGCAUGAGCUCUUGAAGCUCCGCACUCAUCUGAAAAGGCAGAGGGUGCUUUCUUUACUGCCCCUC
rnacentral:lncRNA from 1 species